rnacentral:lncRNA from 10 species
AAUUCUGGGUUAUUACCCGAUUCUACAUAGUCUUGGGAAAAAGUGGGUUCUGGGUUAGCUUGUGGCUAUGUCUGGAACUGGAAUUGUCCUGGAUCCACAAGGGCACAAUGAGUGUGUUGGGAAGAAUGUCUGCAUAUGUGGUUUUAACCUGGAGAGCUAUUACCUGGGAAGUGAGGGAGGAGGACACCACUGUGACCUGCAUAGGAAUAUGGAUGGAAAAGAACAGUGGAAAAGAAUAUACCAGACUGGGAAAGACCAGUAUUCAUAAUGUGGCAACAACAAUGGUAGCUGAAAGUUAGGUCUGCUGGUGAUGGAUUGGAUCCUCUGGAUUGCUCUCCAGAAGGCAUUUCAGAAAUAUGUUCAUCCAUUCUGGACAACAUCCUGGGAUUCUUGAAUAAGUGGGCAGAAGAAGAGAAGUCCCUUGAAAGAAAUUAUACCUCCAACUUAUCCAAAGUAUUGGGAUUCUGCUUGGUUUAGUUAAGUAAAAUAAGA